AGAAGUAAAUGUAGAGAGAGAAAGAGAGAGAGAAAAUCGAGGACAAAGCUGGUAGAGAGAGAGAAGAGAGAAGAGAGAGAGAGAGAGAGUUGGGGGGCAUUAUUUUGGGGGAACAAGAGCCAUGAUUGAGAUAAUUGGGGCUUCCCUGACACCUUAGUCAUGAUUGAACUUACACACCACUCUCUCCUCCUCCCACCCAUAUUUUUCCUUCUCUUUCUAUAAAAACCCCCUCAACAUCCCCACCACUCUUCUUCAAAACAUACCCAUCCACCCCUCUCUCUCUCUCUCUCUCUCUCUCUCUCUCUCUCCUCAGCCUUCAACUCUCUCUCAGCUCUCUGUUUCUGUUUCUCUUUUUUAUCUGAAAC
rnacentral:sRNA from 1 species